rnacentral:rRNA from 1 species
CGGACGGGUGAGGAACGCGUGAAUGACAUGCCCUCCCUCGGGGGAUAGCCCAGGGAAACUUGGAUUAAUACCCCAUGGUCUCGCAAGAGUAAAGGUGGCGCAAGCUGCCGCUGGAGGAUUGGUUCGCGUUCUAUCCCCUUGUUGGCGGGGUAACGGCCCACCAAGGCUACGACGGAUACCUGGUCUGAGAGGAUGAUCAGGCACACUGGAACUGAGACCCGGUCCACACACCUACCGGUGGCAUCCGUCGAGAAUAAUUCACCAUGGGGGCAACCCUGAUGGUGCAACGCCGCGUGGAGGAUGAAGGUCUUCCGAUUGUAAACUCCUGUCAUCCUGGAGUAUGACCUGGCCAUGAAUAGUGGAAAGGGUUUAUAGUACCGGAAGAGGAAGGGACGGCUAACUUCGUGCCACCAGCCGCGGUAAUACCAAAGUCCAUAACGUUGGUCUGAAUCCAUGGGCGUAAAGCGGGCGUAGGUUGCGCGGUAAGUUUGAUUUUUAAUCCCCGGUCUCACCCCCGAACUGCAUUUAUACUGCCUGCUCCAAGAUUGGAGAGGUACCUGGAAUUCCCCUGUACUUGAAAUGCCUUGAUUUCUGAGGAAACACUUGCUGGCCCAAGGGAGUUACUGGACAAAUUCUGAAGCUUAAAGCCCCCAAGGGCCAGGGGAGCUAAAGGGGAUUAUAAUACCCCCUGUC